UACGGGGGGAGCAAGCGUUGUUCGGAAUUACUGGGCGUAAAGGGUUCGUAGGUGGCCAACUAAGUCAGACGUGAAAUCCCUCAGCUUAACUGGGGAACUGCGUCUGAUACUGGAUGGCUUGAGUGCAGGAGAGGAACGCGGAAUUCCAGGUGUAGCGGUGAAAUGCGCAGAUAUCGGGAGGAACACCAAUGGCGAAGGCAGCUCGCUGGGACGGUACUGACGCUGAGACGCGAAAGCGUGGGGAGCAAACAGGG
rnacentral:rRNA from 1 species